rnacentral:rRNA from 1 species
CAGGACUUGACAUGCUUUUGCACCGUCUGUAAUGAGACGUACCCGCAAGGGACAGGAGCACAGGUGCUGCAUGGCUGUCGUCAGCUCGUGUCGUGAGAUAUUGGGUUAAGUCCCGCAACGAGCGCAACCCCCAUGAGUAGUUACAAGUUUCUAUUCAGACUGCCACUCUCAAAGUGGAGGAAGGUGGGGAUGACGUCAAGUCAGCACGGCCCUUACGUUCUGGGCGACACACACGCUACAAUGGCCGAGACAACGAGUCGCCAACCCGCGAGGGGGAGCCAAUCUCAGCAAACUCGGUCUCAGUUCAGAUUGCAGGCUGCAACCCGCCUGCAUGAAGUCGGAGUUGCUAGUAACCGUGAGUCAGCACAUCACGGUGAAUACGUUCCC